rnacentral:rRNA from 1 species
GAUUCCCCUAGUAACUGCGAGUGAAGCGGGAAAAGCUCAAAUUUGAAAUCUGGCAGUUUUUAACUGUCCGAGUUGUAAUCUAGAGAAGUGUUACCUGUGCUGGACCAUGUACAAGUCUUCUGGAAUGAAGCAUCAUAGAGGGUGAGAAUCCCGUCUUUGACAUGGACUACCAGUGCAUUAUGGUAUGCUCUCAAAGAGUCGAGUUGUUUGGGAAUGCAGCUCAAAAUGGGUGGUAAAUGCCAUCUAAAGCUAAAUAUUGGCGAGAGACCGAUAGCGAACAAGUACCGUGAGGGAAAGAUGAAAAGAACUUUGGAAAGAGAGUUAAACAGUACGUGAAAUUGCUGAAAGGGAAACGCUUGAAGUCAGUCUUGUUGGCUAGAAAUCAGCCUUGCUCUUGCUUGGUUUACUUUCUGGUUGACAGGUCAGCAUCAAUUUUGACCAUUGGAUAAAGACAGUAGGAAUGUGGCAUCUUUGGAUGUGUUAUAGCCUAUUGUUGCAUACAGUGAUUGGGAUUGAGGAACUCAGCACGCCGCAAGGCCAGGUUUUUAACCAUGUUCGUGCUUAGGAUGCUGGCAUAAUGGCUUUAAUCGACCCGUCUUGAAACACGGACCAAGGAGUCUAACAUGCCUGCAAGUGUUUGGGUGGAAAACCCAUAUGCACAAUGAAAGUGAAAGUUGAGAUCCCUUCAAGGGAGCAUUGACGCCCAGACCAGACCUUUUGUGACGGAUCUGCGGUAGAGCAUGUAUGUUGGGACCCGAAAGAUGGUGAACUAUGCCUGAAUAGGGUGAAGCCAGAGGAAACUCUGGUGGAGGCUCGUAGCGAUUCUGACGUGCAAAUCGAUCGUCAAAUUUGGGUAUAGGGGCGAAAGACUAAUCGAACCAUCUAGUAGCUGGUUCCUG